GUAAUCUUCCUCCUUUCUCACCAGCAGGACAUAAGAGAAGGGGCUCCUGAAACAGGUGCUCCCUUUCUGCUAAGGGGUUGGUCUGAUGCUGCACCCCCCACCACACUUGUCCUGCUCUAAGCACUGCCAGCUGGAAGCCUGUCCUUCAGUGCUCAGACAGAGGGAAUGGCCUGCAGGGACCUGAGAUCAGUCUGAACUCAUCUGUCCCUUCCAAACAGCCGGUGUAAGUCUUAGAUUUUUACCUCCCCCCCCACGCCCCGAGUAUUUUAAUGGCUAUCAGAUACAGAAAGAUAUCAGUGAAUUUUCAGCUGGAGCCCCAGUACAGCUGACCACCAUCAGGACGGGUGCAGACACCACUCAGCAGCACCAACAGCAGCACCACAAUCACCAUCUGCAUGUCAAAUUCACAAAUCCAAGAUGUGAGCAGCUGACUCCUGAACAACUUGAUUCACACUGCUUCUUCUGCUUGCCAGUUACUGACAGUUAUGAAUAGCAACUUGAAAUAGUGCUAAAAAUAAAACAGAUUCAGGCCCUGGCUGAAAUUUUUUCCUCCCCUCCCAUUUUACCCUUCGUAAUUUGCUUAGCCCUGCUAGUAAUAGAGCUGGUAUGACCCAUUAAGCCACCUUAAAAAAAAAGAAAAAAGUCUGUUACCUACAGAAAGGCACUAAUCCUAACAUCUAGAAUUCAUUCCUGCACAUUUUUGAGCUUCAGUGAUACAUAGCUCCCACCUUGCAUAUUCUGAAGCACACAGGUGAUCAGUGCACUUAGGGCAAUUUCUUCCCCAAAUACAGGAACUGAUGCAUACUUCUAAGAAGAAAUUAGAGACUGGAAAUUAGACACAAACUAGAGCUGAAGACAGCCUACCACCCUGUUAAUGCUUUCUUAAUGGCACAGAGCACAGUACCCGGCCAGUGAAGCAGAGAGCUGAGGGAGCAGCAGAGGCAUCUCAGAUGUGACCCUCACAGCACACUGACUCUGCUCUACUGGACACAACUCUCCUUCCUUGCUUCACUUCUUCCUCUGAGCCCUGGGAAUGACAUCACUGCCCGUUUCUCUUUUGUUAGGCAUUCUGUGCCCUACCCAGCAAGCCUCCAUUCAGCACAGUGCGCACCCUGCGCCUCGCGGCGGCACCAACACUUGCC
ensembl:lncRNA